rnacentral:antisense_RNA from 1 species
GGGAGCUGAUAGACCAGAGGAGACCAAAGACUGAAACUGAAGACUAAACCAUGGAAAUUGGGAACAAGGACUUACUCGCUUAGAGGGUGAAAAAAGUGAAUUUGCCUACAGGGCAAAUCUGGAAGCAGCUCUCCCUGGGAGCGAGUCAAUGAAGAGCCAUUGGAGGAUUUUAAAUAAGGAACCGAAAAAUAGAGUCUGAAAAUAGAGGCGCAGAGACUGGUUCUUCCCCAAAUCAUCAUGGACCAGUUGGACUCUGAGAAGAAAAG